rnacentral:rRNA from 1 species
GUGUCAGCAGCCGCGGUAAGACGGAGGAGGCAAGCGUUAUCCGGAAUUAUUGGGCGUAAAGCGUCCGCAGGCGGCUUUUUAAGUCUGUUGUCAAAGCCCACAGCUCAACUGUGGAUCGGCAAUGGAAACUGGGAAGCUAGAGUGUGGUAGGGGUAGAGGGAAUUCCCGGUGUAGCGGUGAAAUGCGUAGAUAUCGGGAAGAACACCAGUGGCGAAGGCGCUCUACUGGGCCACAACUGACGCUGAGGGACGAAAGCUAGGGGAGCGAAAGGGAUUAGAAACCCGCGUAGUCC